CAGACCUGGAAGCUCUUCUUUCCCUGUUCUGUUGGUCACCGGAUCAGUGAUUGGAUUCAUCGUUCUCAUUCUCCUGCUGCUGCUGAUUUAUUUCCAAAAGCCAAAAUGUUGUGGUUCAGAGCAGCCAGUCAGUCAGGAUGAAGAUCUGCAUCAAGUUUACUCCUCUCUCCUACAUGGUGACCUUUGUGUCUAUGAAACAAUCAGAGGCCCUGAAAACUCUGGAAAAGGGAAACUUGAUGAUUCAGAGAAGAUCUGACAAAGUUGAUGCAACUUCAGAAUAAAACAUCAAAGUAGGU